rnacentral:lncRNA from 1 species
UUUAGACAACUUUAUGGAUGAAAUGAGGGGGAUGGGUAAAACAAUUAUUUAGAUAUGUAUAUAUUUAUAUGUUAACAUUAUUUUAUCGAUUAUUAUAUAUUUAUUUAAGUAUAUAUUUGUCUUUAGUGUCAGGUGGAAGUAUAGCUGCAUCUUCUGUUUCGAAUGAAAAUGAUUCCUUAUCAUUCGAACAAUACCAAAGUUAUCCCUCCCAACACCCGGGACCUCUCUCAGAGAGGUCCUUCAAUAAAUGGAAAUGUAAUGGCGGUAUGGAUGAGCCCUCCUUUAAAUGGAGGGCUCAUCCAUACCGGGGUGUUGGGAGACACCGAAGAAAAAACAGCA